AGAGUUAAACAGUACAUGAAAUUGUUGAAAGGGAAACGAUUGAAGCCAGUCGUGCUGGCAGGAAAUCAGCUUUCAGGAUUACUGGAGAUGCACUUUUUCGCAAGGCAGGUUAGCAUCAAUUUCGCAUGUUGUAAAAAGUCCAUCGGAAUGUGACUCCUUUCGGAGUGUUAUAGCUAGUGGUCAAUACGACGGGUGGGAUUGAGGAUUGCAGCGGGUGCCUUUUAGGCUAAGUGCCUGGCCCUUGUUCGUGAUUGUCUUGGCAACAGCGUGCUGGUGUUGGGAACGAUUCGUGAACACGGGGUGUAGCGUCACGGUAAACUCGCUAAGGAUACUGACGUAAUGGCUUUAAACGAUC
rnacentral:rRNA from 1 species